rnacentral:rRNA from 1 species
GCAAUCAUACCAGCACUAAUGCACUGGAUCCCAUCAGAACUUCGAAGUUAAGCGUGCUUGGGCGAGAGCAGUACUAGGAUGGAUGACCUCGUGGGAAGUCCUCGUAUUGCAUCU